rnacentral:rRNA from 1 species
AGCAUAUCAUAGCGGGGGAAAAAAACAACGGGAUGCCUCAGUAACGGCGAGUGAAGCGGCAAGAGCUCAAAUUUGAAAUCUGGCCCUUUCAGGGUCCGAGUUGUAAUUUGCAGAGGAUGCUUCGGGUGCGGUCCCCAUCUAAGUGCCCUGGAACGGGCCGUCAUAGAGGGUGAGAAUCCCGUCUGGGAUGGGCGGCCGUGCCCGUGUGAAGCUCCUUCGACGAGUCGAGUUGUUUGGGAAUGCAGCUCUAAGUGGGUGGUAAAUUUCAUCUAAAGCUAAAUACUGGCCGGAGACCGAUAGCGCACAAGUAGAGUGAUCGAAAGAUGAAAAGCACUUUGAAAAGAGAGUUAAACAGCACGUGAAAUUGUUGAAAGGGAAGCGUUGUCCACCAGACUCGCCCGGGGGGGUUCAGCCGGUACGUGUGCCGGUGUACUCCUCUCCGGGCGGGCCAGCAUCGGUUUGGGCGGCUGGUGAAAGGCCCCGGGAAUGUAGCACCCUUCGGGGUGCCUUAUAGCCCGGGGUGCCAUACAGCCAGCCUGGACCGAGGCCCGCGCUUCGGCGAGGAUGCUGGCGUAAUGGUGGUCAACGGCCCGUCUUGAAACACGGACCAAGGAGUCUAACAUCUAUGCGAGUGUUCGGGUGUCAAACCCGUCCGCGCAGUGAAAGCGAACGGAGGUGGGAGCCUUUCGGGGCGCACCAUCGACCGAUCCUGAAGUCUUCGGAUGGAUUUGAGUAAGAGCAUAGCUGUUGGGACCCGAAAGAUGGUGAACUAUGCCUGAAUAGGGCGAAGCCAGAGGAAACUCUGGUGGAGGCUCGCAGCGGUUCUGACGUGCAAAUCGAUCGUCAAAUUUGGGUAUAGGGGCGAAAGACUAAUCGAACCAUCUGGUAGCUGGCUCUGCGA